GACGAACGCUGGCGGCGUGCCUAAUACAUGCAAGUCGAACGCAGUUGCGAACGGGUGAGUAACGCGUCGGUAACUGCCUCAUAGCGGGGGGUAACUAUUGGCAACGAUAGCUAAUACCGCAUACUGUGCGAUGGACCUGCGUUGUAUUUGUUCGUUGGUGAGGUAAAGGCCCACCAAGGCGACGAUACAUAGCCGACCUGAGAGGGUGGUCGGCCACACAGGGAAGGAGACCAGGGCCAGACUCCUACGGGAGGCAGCAGUAGGGAAUCUUCGGCAAGGGAGUGAAGGCUGACCGAGCAACGGCGCGUGAGUGAAGAAGGAUUGCGGAGCGUAAAGCGCUGUUGUUAGAGAAGCGAUAACUAACCAGAAAGGGACGGCUAACUACGUGCCAGCAGCCGCGGUAAUAC
rnacentral:rRNA from 1 species